AAAGAAGCAUGGUUAAAAAAAAGAAGGAAAUUAACAUAAAAAGAAGUCAAAUUAUUCUACCUUUUUGAAGCAAAUCCAUAUUAGCACUUGGAAGGGUUUGGAUGAAUUGAAUUUGAUUGAUGAUUUGGAUGCUCCAUUAUGAGAUUCUCAUGGUGUAAGCAAGUGGAGUUUGCAGAGCAUAUUUAGAUUCAUGACAGAAUGUUUAUAAAUGAGUAGAGGUUUGAAAUGGUUUCCUAUAUUGGCAGUUUCCAAAAAAAAGUGCAGCAUAUAUGAUUAGUGG
rnacentral:lncRNA from 1 species